AGCGAACGCUGGCGGCAGGCCUAACACAUGCAAGUCGAACGGAUCCUUCGGGAUUAGUGGCGGACGGGUGAGUAACACGUGGGAACGUGCCCUUUGGUUCGGAACAACUCAGGGAAACUUGAGCUAAUACCGGAUGUGCCCUUCGGGGGAAAGAUUUAUCGCCAUUGGAGCGGCCCGCGUCUGAUUAGCUAGUUGGUGAGGUAACGGCCCACCAAGGCGACGAUCAGUAGCUGGUCUGAGAGGAUGAUCAGCCACACUGGGACUGAGACACGGCCCAGACUCCUACGGGAGGCAGCAGUGGGGAAUCUUGCGCAAUGGGCGAAAGCCUGACGCAGCCAUGCCGCGUGAAUGAUGAAGGUCUUAGGAUUGUAAAAUUCUUUCAGCGGGGACGAUAAUGACGGUACCCGCAGAAGAAGCUCCGGCUAGCUUCGUG
rnacentral:rRNA from 1 species